rnacentral:lncRNA from 1 species
GAGCUACUCAGGCCAACAGGAGACUGGAGAACAAGGGGGGAGGUCAGAGAGGGACUGUGCUGGAGAUGGAAUUUAAAAGCAAGUAGCAGUAUUGUGUGCUUGCAGACAGAGUGAGGGGGUCUUGGAGGAAAGUCUGCACUCGAUUUCAGGCACUGGAAACUCAUGUGGGGCCAGCUGGCUCUCAUCUCUGGUCGGUAGGGUUCUGUUCUGAAAGACACUCCUGAGAACAGGAUUUUGGCAAAACUGUUUCCAGGAAAGAAGAUGGAUACAUAUGGGCAUCACUGUGAGAUCUCCCCUUGUUCCUGGAAUUAUUUAAGAGCUUUGCUGUGUCUGAGCAAGGUGCUCAUGAAGUAUCAAGGGCCACAUUCUACCAUGUGAACCUGAAGAAGGGUGAUAAUACUGCAGCUGUGUGGCAGCUUGUCUCCGAGUGGAAGGAUUAUUACCACCGCCUUUUGACGGGAUGAAUCACCCAG